CCUACGGGAGACUGCAGUGAGGAAUAUUGGUCAAUGGCCGGAAGGCUGAACCAGCCAAGCCGCGUGAGGGAGGCAGGCGCAGAGCGUCGCAGACCUCUUUUGCCGGGGGACAAACGGCCGGACUCGUCCGGUCCUGAGGGUACCCGGAGAAAAAGCAUCGGCUAACUCCGUGCCAGCAGCCGCGGUAAUACUGAGGAUGCGAGCGGUAUCCGGAUUCAGUGGGUUUCAGGGGUGCGCAGUCGGGGCUUUAAGCCGGCGGUGAAAUCGCGGGGCUCAACCCCGCCGCGCCGUCGGAACUGGGGGCCUUGAGUGCGGCGGAGGCAUGCGGAAUGCGCGGUGUAGCGGUGAAAUGCAUAGAUAUCGCGCAGAACCCCGAUUGCGAAGGCAGCGUGCCGUGCCGCCACUGACGCUGAGGCACGAAAGCGCGGGGAUCGAACAGGAUUAGAUACCCUUGUAGUC
rnacentral:rRNA from 1 species